GCCAACAAUCCAAUCGUAAUUUACAUACAUUGAUAUUAAAUAAACAAAAUAACAAACAUCCUAAACAUUGAAUAGUUACUAUUUUACGGCUAAGGUGUGAAAAUCCAAAUAUAUACUUUGGAGUAGUUAGGAUGGAACAACAACCAGCCAAAUAUCGGUCAAAAUGCCUCGGUUUUAAUCAGCCCAAAUAGCCUUGCAUAUAUUCAAAACUUCCGUCCCAACAAUUUUGUCAAAAUACAACACUACCACUUACCAGACUGAUUCAAUAGUAAAAUCAAGAUCCAGUGUCUGUACUAUAGCACUAUACGUUAAUAUACACCUCACGCAUUAUUCAAACGAAUAGCAAUGAUAAUAUCCAUAUUUUGUUAUCCACGCAGAGCACAUUAAUCAUUAUACUAAAUACUAUAAACCUUACCACGACACAAAGAUAUUGCAUUAAUUAUACGCUCAAUCAAAGAAAUAGCCAUAGAUGGUGUGUAAAUAUUCCGUCAUGGUUUGAAGGACAUCAGAAGUUACACAAUGUAGGAUGUACUUUUAAAUUGAAAACACGCAAUACCAUUGCCAUUGCAAACUUCAACUAGUAUAUGGCAGUGAUGACUUAACUUGCAGUCUAGCAGACCAUGAUAAUAUACAAGAAGUCACCAGAAGGAUUUAACUACCAAAGAAACUUUUGAAUGUACUUCAAAAGUACUUCAAUAUUUCAAACAAAGUCACUUUGCCUGGAAGUGCAUGUAUAGACAGUAGAAAUCGACUUCUAAAGGUUGGCGGCUACUAAUUUCCAGACAAACGCUCGAAACGUCGACGUACGUUCUAGAUUUUUCAGGCACAACUUCUUGAAUAUUGUUGAAGGCUGCCAUCACUGGAACCCGACACUAUUGAAUUUAUACAUUCAAAUGAUCGAAUAUUUCAGUUAGUCUAGAAUUUUCAGAGCCUGGCAACCAAUAAAACAAAGAACAAGAGCCCAAGAUAAGUAUCAUUCCAUAAAAAUGCACAAAAUGAUGUUAUAUGCAUCCAGUCACGAUCCAGUUAUCAAUAGGUUUUCAUUAGAGAAACUUAGAAAGUCGACGAGGCAAACACGACGACGCGGUCUCAAUUUCAGCUGAAGAUUGAGAACGAAGGAACUUGAUGACUGUAAUGAAUUGAAGCUUUUAAAAUAACUUUACAAACGGCUGAGUUCGGGAAAAAACGAUCCGGUGUCUGCUAUGAGACAGAUUUUAUGUAACUCCUCCAACGUCGUAACAAGCAUUCACGUUGCUCCAUUGACGUGAAAUCUUAUACUGUAGUUUGUGUUUCACGCUGUACAGUAUGAUUCAGAAUGACAAUGUUGUUGAGGAGACCCCUGGGGACAACAAAUUAUUCAAACCUUUGUUUUGCAUGAAGAAUUUCUUUGUUUUGAAGGUGGUCUUUCAGUUCGCGUCGUGUUUUCUAAAACAGUCUAUUGUUUUGAAAUGCCAUGCCGUAUAUUCACUUAUUGAUUUGACUUAUUUGCGGAACAUUGACAUUGUGCGUAGAGUGGAGCUAAUGUUAUUUUUGUUCCGGGGCGCAGUCCUGAGUGGUGUCGAAGACAACGUAUUUUUUUAUUUCUAAUUAUAUAUGACCGUGAGUCAAAAGUCUCAACCUAAAGUCAUUUCCUGGUCAUCCGAAAACUGUGGGAAAAAAAUAGAAAACACUGAGGUAGUUGAGUGUCAUACUUUAACAGUUUAAAUUGUCCAACCUCUGCAUUUUUUGAGAACAUCAAAUUAUGUCUAUUGAACUGAACUAUUGAAUUAUGUCUAUUGAAUUAUGUCUAUUGAAUUAUGUCUAUUAAAUCAACUAAAAUUAAGUUCUUAUUUUGACACUUUAUUCCACACAUUACAUCACCGACAGGUAUUUCAGCACUUCAAUACUGAGCCAACAAGAUGGCUUCUACGAACUUGUAACCUGCGAGGCAAAUGGUGUUCCGGCGCGGUGGGCUGCCCGUCUGCCAUGAAGGCUAACACACUUGCUGCCAGUUGAUUGUUACCGCCUUGAAUUAUAAUAACAACCAAUGAAACAUUGGAGAUUGGCAACACAGAAAGCCAAUUAAAGCUUUGUUGGAUGAAAUUAGAAUCGUAAAGGGGGAAAAUCGUUUGUCAAUUUCAUUAAACAUAAUGUCGGAACCAUUUCUUCAAAGAUCAACAUCACGUUGGAUUAUUAAAGGAUAUGAGCAUAAAGUUGGGAUUUGCACGUGCACUAAUUUUAUCCAAC